UUCCAGACUCCUACGGGAGGCAGCAGUGGGGAAUAUUGCACAAUGGGGGAACCCUGAUGCAGCAAUGCCGCGUGGGUGAAGAAGCACUCCGGUGCGUAAAGCCCUGUCAGCAGGGAAGAAAAUGACAGUACCUGGACAAGAAGCCCCGGCUAACUACGUGCCAGCAGCCGCGGUAAUACGUAGGGGGCGAGCGUUAUCCGGAUUUACUGGGUGUAAAGGGAGCGUAGACGGUUAAUCAAGUCUGAAGUGAAAGCCCGCGGCUCAACUGCGGAACGGCUUUGGAAACUGAGUAACUGGAGUGCUGGAGGGGCAGGCGGAAUUCCUGGUGUAGCGGUGAAAUGCGUAGAUAUCAGGAGGAACACCGGUGGCGAAGGCGGCCUGCUGGACAGUAACUGACGUUGAGGCUCGAAAGCGUGGGGAGCAAACAGGAUUAGAUACCCCCGUAA
rnacentral:rRNA from 1 species